ensembl:snRNA U4 U4 spliceosomal RNA
AGCUUUGCACAGUGGCAGUAUCAUAGCCAAUAAGGUUUAUCCAAGGCACAAUUAUUGCUAAUUGAAAACUAUCCAUUGCACCACUAGCUGUUUAUGUGAUUCUUUGACAAAAUAUAGAAUAAACCAUUUAAUGAAAUGAAAACAGAUUC